CAUACGUCCACUGGGCAUGCUUUUAAGACGUGUCUCCUUUGGGGAAAAAGAGUAUAAGAAUCAAGCAAAGUAAAUUACUGUGGUUGGGAUUCCUUAAUUAACUCUUGAAGAAGCAACAUUGCUAGACAGAGUAGCCAAACCUCUGCUCUGUGGGCUCAAGUAGGACUGUGAAACAGAGGGCUCUCAAGGCAUCGAGGGCCCUGCCUGGAGGAAAUCUGAGACAGACCAGAGGGCUGAGAAGAACAGACCAGGAGAAAAGAAGCCGAAUAUAAAAUUGAGACACAGUACUGAUGAUGGAGAAGAUGAGAGUCUGAAAUACUGAUUGAAGAUUCUUAACAAAAAUUCUGCAAAUGUUUCUAUGCUCCUCCUAUCAUUUCCAUCCUAGAGGCUAGCGCAGAUUAGAAGGUGAAAAAAACACACUCGCGAUGAGAUGUUCUCAGAGCUCAUGCAGUCCUCCCACACUGAAAGAGUUCAGCAGAAUGCGUGGAGGCAAACAAUGGCAGAGUCCAGGAAAGCGUUAAAUGAACACGAUGAGAGAAGAGAGGAGCAUGCUGAGAGGAGGCUGGAUGCAAUGCUGUGGUUAAUGGGGGAGCAAACUGACUUGCUCAGGUGUCUUGUGGAGCUGCAGGAAAGGCAGAAGGAGCACAGACCACUACUGCAGCCCCUGUAACUGCCUGCCCUCCUCCCCAAGUUCCAUAGCCUCCUCACCCAGAUGCUCAAGAACGCGGGGGAGGGGGAGAGGGAGGCUAUGGGCACCCAGCCACUCCACCCCAGAGGAUUACCCAAGCAACAGAAGGCUGGUAUUCAAUAAGUUUUGAACUGUAGUGUGGCCUUGUCCUUCCCUCCUCCCCUGCUCCCCAACCACGUGUCUAGUAUCAGUGCUUCCCUCCUCAUCCACCCCUCCCAGGCUACCUUGCGAGUUUUCCCCC